GGUUAAGCGACUAAGCGUACACGGUGGAUGCCCCGGCAGUCAGAGGCGAUGAAGGACGUGCUAAUCUGCGAUAAGCGUCGGUAAGGUGAUAUGAACCGUUAUAACCGGCGAUUUCCGAAUGGGGAAACCCAGUGUGUUUCGACACACUAUCAUUAACUGAAUCCAUAGGUUAAUGAGGCGAACCGGGGAACUGAAACAUCUAAGUACCCCGAGGAAAAGAAAUCAACCGAGAUUCCCCAGUAGCGGCGAGCGAACGGGGAGCAGCCCAGAGCCUGAAUCAGUGUGUGUGUUAGUGGAAGCGUCUGGAAAGGCGCGCGAUACAGGGUGACAGCCCCGUACACAAAAAUGCACAUGCUGUGAGCUCGAUGAGUAGGGCGGGACACGUGGUAUCCUGUCUGAAUAUGGGGGACCAUCCUCCAAGGCUAAAUACUCCUGACUGACCGAUAGUGAACCAGUACCGUGAGGGAAAGGCGAAAAGAACCCCGGCGAGGGGAGUGAAAAAGAACCUGAAACCGUGUACGUACAAGCAGUGGGAGCACGCUUAGGCGUGUGACUGCGUACCUUUUGUAUAAUGGGUCAGCGACUUAUAUUCUGUAGCAAGGUUAACCGAAUAGGGGAGCCGAAGGGAAACCGAGUCUUAACUGGGCGUUAAGUUGCAGGGUAUAGACCCGAAACCCGGUGAUCUAGCCAUGGGCAGGUUGAAGGUUGGGUAACACUAACUGGAGGACCGAACCGACUAAUGUUGAAAAAUUAGCGGAUGACUUGUGGCUGGGGGUGAAAGGCCAAUCAAACCGGGAGAUAGCUGGUUCUCCCCGAAAGCUAUUUAGGUAGCGCCUCGUGAAUUCAUCUCCGGGGUAGAGCACUGUUUCGGCAAGGGGUCAUCCCGACUUACCAACCCGAUGCAAACUGCGAAUACCGGAGAAUGUUAUCACGGGAGACACACGGCGGGUGCUAACGUCCGUCGUGAAGAGGGAAACAACCCAGACCGCCAGCUAAGGUCCCAAAGUCAUGGUUAAGUGGGAAACGAUGUGGGAAGGCCCAGACAGCCAGGAUGUUGGCUUAGAAGCAGCCAUCAUUUAAAGAAAGCGUAAUAGCUCACUGGUCGAGUCGGCCUGCGCGGAAGAUGUAACGGGGCUAAACCAUGCACCGAAGCUGCGGCAGCGACGCUUAUGCGUUGUUGGGUAGGGGAGCGUUCUGUAAGCCUGCGAAGGUGUGCUGUGAGGCAUGCUGGAGGUAUCAGAAGUGCGAAUGCUGACAUAAGUAACGAUAAAGCGGGUGAAAAGCCCGCUCGCCGGAAGACCAAGGGUUCCUGUCCAACGUUAAUCGGGGCAGGGUGAGUCGACCCCUAAGGCGAGGCCGAAAGGCGUAGUCGAUGGGAAACAGGUUAAUAUUCCUGUACUUGGUGUUACUGCGAAGGGGGACGGAGAAGGCUAUGUUGGCCGGGCGACGGUUGUCCCGGUUUAAGCGUGUAGGCUGGUUUUCCAGGCAAAUCCGGAAAAUCAAGGCUGAGGCGUGAUGACGAGGCACUACGGUGCUGAAGCAACAAAUGCCCUGCUUCCAGGAAAAGCCUCUAAGCAUCAGGUAACAUCAAAUCGUACCCCAAACCGACACAGGUGGUCAGGUAGAGAAUACCAAGGCGCUUGAGAGAACUCGGGUGAAGGAACUAGGCAAAAUGGUGCCGUAACUUCGGGAGAAGGCACGCUGAUAUGUAGGUGAAGCGACUUGCUCGUGGAGCUGAAAUCAGUCGAAGAUACCAGCUGGCUGCAACUGUUUAUUAAAAACACAGCACUGUGCAAACACGAAAGUGGACGUAUACGGUGUGACGCCUGCCCGGUGCCGGAAGGUUAAUUGAUGGGGUUAGCCGCAAGGCGAAGCUCUUGAUCGAAGCCCCGGUAAACGGCGGCCGUAACUAUAACGGUCCUAAGGUAGCGAAAUUCCUUGUCGGGUAAGUUCCGACCUGCACGAAUGGCGUAAUGAUGGCCAGGCUGUCUCCACCCGAGACUCAGUGAAAUUGAACUCGCUGUGAAGAUGCAGUGUACCCGCGGCAAGACGGAAAGACCCCGUGAACCUUUACUAUAGCUUGACACUGAACAUUGAGCCUUGAUGUGUAGGAUAGGUGGGAGGCUUUGAAGUGUGGACGCCAGUCUGCAUGGAGCCGACCUUGAAAUACCACCCUUUAAUGUUUGAUGUUCUAACGUUGACCCGUAAUCCGGGUUGCGGACAGUGUCUGGUGGGUAGUUUGACUGGGGCGGUCUCCUCCUAAAGAGUAACGGAGGAGCACGAAGGUUGGCUAAUCCUGGUCGGACAUCAGGAGGUUAGUGCAAUGGCAUAAGCCAGCUUGACUGCGAGCGUGACGGCGCGAGCAGGUGCGAAAGCAGGUCAUAGUGAUCCGGUGGUUCUGAAUGGAAGGGCCAUCGCUCAACGGAUAAAAGGUACUCCGGGGAUAACAGGCUGAUACCGCCCAAGAGUUCAUAUCGACGGCGGUGUUUGGCACCUCGAUGUCGGCUCAUCACAUCCUGGGGCUGAAGUAGGUCCCAAGGGUAUGGCUGUUCGCCAUUUAAAGUGGUACGCGAGCUGGGUUUAGAACGUCGUGAGACAGUUCGGUCCCUAUCUGCCGUGGGCGCUGGAGAACUGAGGGGGCUGCUCCUAGUACGAGAGGACCGGAGUGGACGCAUCACUGGUGUUCGGGUUGUCAUGCCAAUGGCACUGCCCGGUAGCUAAAUGCGGAAGAGAUAAGUGCUGAAAGCAUCUAAGCACGAAACUUGCCCCGAGAUGAGUUCUCCUGACUCCUUGAGAGUCCUGAAGGAACGUUGAAGACGACGACGUUGAUAGGCCGGGUGUGUAAGCGCAGCGAUGCGUUGAGCUAACCGGUACUAAUGAACCGUGAGGCUUAACCUU
rnacentral:rRNA from 1 species